UACGUUUUGGGCAAGCGUUGUUCGGAAUUACUGGGCGUAAAGGGCUCGUAGGCGGCCAACUAAGUCAGACGUGAAAUCCCUCGGCUUAACCGGGGAACUGCGUCUGAUACUGGAUGGCUUGAGUUUGGGAGAGGGAUGCGGAAUUCCAGGUGUAGCGGUGAAAUGCGCAGAUAUCAGGAGGAACACCGAUGGCGAAGGCAGCUCGCUGGGACGUGACUGACGCUGAGACGCGAAAGCGUGGGGAGCAAACAGG
rnacentral:rRNA from 1 species